rnacentral:rRNA from 1 species
UGGGGAAUAUUGCACAAUGGGCGAAAGCCUGAUGCAGCAACGCCGCGUGAGUGAUGAAGGUCUUCGGAUUGUAAAGCUCUGUCCUUUGGGACGAUAAUGACGGUACCAAAGGAGGAAGCCACGGCUAACUACGUGCCAGCAGCCGCGGUAAUACGUAGGUGGCGAGCGUUGUCCGGAUUUACUGGGCGUAAAGGGUGCGUAGGCGGAUGUUUAAGUGAGAUGUGAAAUACCCCGGGCUUAACUUGGGUGCUGCAUUUCAAACUGGAUAUCUAGAGCGCAGGAGAGGAGAAUGGAAUUCCUAGUGUAGCGGUGAAAUGCGUAGAGAUUAGGAAGAACACCAGUGGCGAAGGCGAUUCUCUGGACUGUAACUGACGCUGAGGCACGAAAGCGUGGGUAGCAAACAGGAUUAGAUACCCUGGUAGUCCACGCCGUAAACGAUGAGUACUAGGUGUAGGAGGUAUCGACCCCUUCUGUGCCGCAGUAAAACACAUUAAGUACUCCGCCUGGGAAGUA